UCCUUCCCUAGGCUCAUCCCACAAAUGUUUACUGAAUAUCUACAUGUUUCAGGCAGAAAACCAGCCCCUACCCACCCCUCUGUAGGAUCUGCUUCCCUGGUAUGACCAUUCUUUUCUGGACAACGACAGGAGUGGAUAAUCCAAUAAUGCGUGGUGUCUCAUCUCAGUACUUCUGUGUUAGGCACGCUAGUAUAUUAAGACGCUGAAAGGCCUUACCAGAACGUUCACCACAUCUACAGUGGUGGAUCUAACACAUACUGGGAUCUGAGGGCCACCGUUUCUACAGCACAGAGGAUUAAGGACGGCAGUGUAAACGUGGUCUGGCAAUUCCACUGGACUUUGUCAUCCAAGGUCAGCGAUGGGACUUAGAAAGCCACCGAGGAAUGUGACAGGCAAGACAAGACCUGGAUUUUGUAUUUGGGUUUAAAACCCCCGGAGCAGGGAGACACUAGGUACCCGCAGUUCUCAGCGCUGGACAGUGCAUGUGAGGCGAACGAGAUGAUGCAGCCUUGGAUGCUCAUGGAGAAGCUGUUCUACACAGUUGUAGCUUUAUAACCGUCAUGGACUGAAGGCUGGCUCCCGUUCUAGAAGCCUCAUCCCAGGAAGCAGACUGCUCUUCCAGAGACUGCUACAGCAUGUCAUUGCCCUCCCCACCCUUGAAAGUUAGAAGCUUGGGCAAUUCUUGGCCAAGGAAGGAAAAGACAAGCAUUUUCAGUAAAGCUGCCAUGGACGUAA
rnacentral:lncRNA from 1 species